UUGCGGCACGUGGGGUUGGAUGGGGUUCUCACGUGCUCUUAUUAUUUUAAUCCGAUUUUGCGCCCACUUAGUUGCGUUGCAAUUGUGCUAUAUUUAGGCAACCGAAAGAUGGUUUUAUUUAACUUGCCAUUUUUAAAUUCACGGCCAAGUAGAAUUGCGAGUUUCAGGCUAGCGAGUGCGAAUCCGGCACCAGCACGCGUCACGCUCGUCUAUGUAGUCGUGCUCCUGGUGAACUAAGGCAAAUCUGGCCAAGAUUUUGCCUGGACUCAGGACCACCAUGUCCCUGUGAAAAUCACAGCUGCAGCUCACACCUUGCAUACAUAAAGGCAAGUUAACUUGGGGAUAACGCAUGUGUAUGCCCGUUAGACAAUGUUGCCCCGUCUGACAUGACAGGGUCUAGGGUGGGUGCAGUGUCCAGGGGGAGUCAGCAGACUGAAGAGGCUGCAUGCUGUACAAUGGGUGAUCCUCCUGGGUCACGUUUCAGCUCAUGACUACCUGACGAUGCCGGGUAUUAGCGUUCGGUGUUUAUGGAAAUGGAAGUAAAGGAGGACAUCUCUGCUUAUGUGUCCACUUGGAAACCGAGAACCAGUGUCUGGUAGAGACACACAGGGGAAUAUUGCAUAUUGUAAAUAAUUGCCGUGUUUUGAUGCGGGUACUAGGCAUUUGCCAGUGUUGUGUGGUUUCCCUUUGCAUCUCCAAUACGCAUAGAUAUUGAAUAGUCUUCCAAUCGCUUGGGCUAAUGUCCGAAGACUGAUGUUAGUGCCCCUGCAUUAUUCACUAGUUCCACGCUAAGUACUACGGUCUGUACUACGCUGACCAGUGUCAGUAAUGUAGGUCUUGCUGUGAGCUCCCAAACGCUUCCCUCCUGUCCGCUUGGUACCGGGGUUGGGUGGAGGGUCAGCCGGUGUCACAGGAGUGG